GACGAACGCUGGCGGCGUGCUUAACACAUGCAAGUCGAACGAAGAGCGAUGGAAGCUUGCUUCUAUCAAUCUUAGUGGCGAACGGGUGAGUAACGCGUAAUCAACCUGCCCUUCAGAGGGGGACAACAGUUGGAAACGACUGCUAAUACCGCAUACGAUCUAAUCUCGGCAUCGAGGAUAGAUGAAAGGUGGCCUCUACAUGUAAGCUAUCACUGAAGGAGGGGAUUGCGCCUGAUUAGCUAGUUGGAGGGGUAACGGCCCACCAAGGCGAUGAUCAGUAGCCGGUCUGAGAGGAUGAACGGCCACAUUGGGACUGAGACACGGCCCAGACUCCUACGGGAGGCAGCAGUGGGGAAGCUUCCGCAAUGGACGAAAGUCUGACGGAGCAACGCCGCGUGAGGGAGGACGGCCUUCGGGUUGUAAAGCUCGGUUAAUCGGGACGAAAGGCCUUCUUGCGAAUAGUGAGAAGGAUUGACGGUACCGGAAUAGAAAGCCACGGCUAACUACGUG
rnacentral:rRNA from 1 species